GUUAGGAAUCUUCCACAAUGGGGGCAACCCUGAUGGAGCAACACCGCGUGCUGGAUGAAGGCCUUCGGGUCGUAAACAGCUUUUGUAUACGAAGAAUAUGACGGUAAUAUACGAAUAAGGGUCGGCUAACUACGUGCCAGCAGCCGCGGUCAUACGUAGGACCCAAGCGUUAUCCGGAGUGACUGGGCGUAAAGAGUUGCGUAGGCGGCUUAUUAAGCGAGUAGUGAAAUCUGGUGGCUCAACAAUCAACACAUUGCUCGAACUGAUAGGCUUGAGAAUGGUAGAGGUAGUUGGAAUUUCUUGUGUAGGAGUGAAAUCCGUAGAUAUAAGAAGGAACACCAAUGGCGUAGGCAGACUACUGGACCAUUUCUGACGCUGAGGCACGAAAGCGUGGGGAGCGAACCGGAUUAGAAACCCCAGUAGUCC
rnacentral:rRNA from 1 species